rnacentral:lncRNA from 1 species
CAGCCUGUCUUUUUGUCUUGAGAAUAUGUCUGCAUUCCUAUUUCUUGGUGCAUCCUGCACUGUCACCAUAGGCCCCGGUGCGUUCUGCCCUGCACAUGCACCAUGUGUAGUGUAAUAGCGAGGCAGCAAGGCACAGAAGGAGGGUGUGUGUUAUUACAUAACAUCAUGUAAGCCCAAACCCUGCCACCCAACCCAGAUGGGAGUUAUUAUACAGUGACAUUUCCCUGCAGUGUCUUGUAACAUUAGACUUCCCUUUUCUUUCCUAGAAUUCUUUAAAACACCCUUCCCUUGUAUAUAAAUAACUUCUAAAAAUAUUGGAAAGUAGCUGUCCUGCCAGGUUAUAGCAGGAGGUUAGCAUUAGAAGAAAGCUUCAAUUCCCCCCCCCCCAUUAUUUUGUUCUUCAUUUAUUUAAUAGCAGCCUAGACUUUAAUCUGAGUAUAGUACAAGGUUUGGGGAACACUGCAGGAGUCUGAAAUCAAUAGUGAUGUCAUUAAAUUGCCACUUUAAAUUGGCUUAUCCUGGCUGCUGACACCCCUUCCGCUCCCUGGGCAAACUACAACUUUUUAACAGCCAACACUUAGUGUGCUCUCUCUCUCUCUCCAUAAACUAACCUAAACUAUAAGAGAAAACUCUUGUCUUGCAUUAUUCUGACUCUAGUCCAGUGCUUUCCAAAGUAUCUGUGGUAAAGGACUGGUUUUCUUUUCUUUCUUUAUUUCUUUCGAGACAGAGUCUUGUUCUGUCACCCAGGCUGGAGUGCAGUGGCGUGAUCUCGGCUCACUACAAACACUGCCUCCUAGGUUCAAGCGAUUCUCCUGCCUCAGCCUCCCGAGUAGCUGGGAUUACAGGCAUGCACCACAACGUCUGGCUAAUUUUUGUGUUUUUAUGUUUUUAGUAGAGUCGGGGUUUCUCCAUGUUGUCCAGGCUGGUCUCAAACUCUUGUCCUCAGUGAUCCACCCGAUUCGGCCUUCCAAAGUGCUGGGAUUACAGGCGUGAGCCACCGCA